rnacentral:lncRNA from 1 species
AUGGGGGUACAGAGUGGUCUCGGCCCAGGUGCAGUGUGUAUUGGGGUACAGAGUGGUCUCGGCCCAGGUGCAGUGUGUAUUGGGGUACAGAGUGGUCUCGGCCCAGGUGCAGUGUGUAUUGGGGUACAGAGUGGUCUUGGCCCAGGUGCAGUGUGUAUUGGGGUACAGAGUGGUCUCGGCCCAGGUGCAGUGUGUAUUGGGGUACAGAGUGGUCUCGGCCCAGGUGCAGUGUGUAUUGGGGGUACAGAGAGGUCUCGGCCCAGGUGCAGUGUGUAUUGGGGGUACAGAGAGGUCUCGGCCCAGGUGCAGUGUGUAUUGGGGGUACAGUGUGGUCUCGGCCCAGGUGCAGUGUGUAUUGGGGUACAGUGUGGUCUCGGCCCAGGUGCAGUGUGUAUUGGGGGUACAGAGAGGUCUCGGCCCAGGUGCAGUGUGUAUUGGGGGUACAGAGAGGUCUCGGCCCAGGUGCAGUGUGAAUUGGGGGUACAGUGUGGUCUCGGCCCAGGUGCAGUGUGUAUUGGGGUACAGUGUGGUCUCGGCCCAGGUGCAGUGUGUAUUGGGGGUACAGUGUGGUCUCGGCCCAGGUGCAGUGUGAAUUGGGGGUACAGUGUUGUCUCGGCCCAGGUGCAGUGUGUAUUGGGGGUACAGUGUGGUCUCGUCCCAGGUGCAGUGUGUAUUGGGGGUACAGAGUGGUCUCGGCCCAGGUGCAGUGUGUUUGGGGGUACAGUGUGGUCUCGGCCCAGGUGCAGUGUGUAUUGGGGGUACAGUGUGGUCUCGGCCCAGGUGCAGUGUGUAUUGGGGUACAGUGUGGUCUCGGCCCAGGUGCAGUGUGUAUUGGGGUACAGUGUGGUCUCGGCCCAGGUGCAGUGUGUAUUUGGGUACAGUGUGGUCUCGGCCCAGGUGCAGUGUGUAUUGGGGUACAGUGUUGUCUCGGCCCAGGUGCAGUGUGUAUUGGGGGUACAGAGUGGUCUCGGCCCAGGUGCAGUGUGUAUUGGGGGUACAGAUUGGUCUCGGCCCAGGUGCAGUGUGUAUUGGGGGUACAGUGUGGUCUCGGUGCAGUGUGUAUUGGGGGUACAGAGAGGUCUCGGCCCAGGUGCAGUGUGUAUUGGGGUACAGAGAGGUCUCGGCCCAGGUGCAGUGUGUAUUGGGGGUACAGUGUGGUCUCGGCCCAGGUGCAGUGUGUAUUGA